ensembl:lncRNA
ACCACUAGAAAUUGGAAUGUGUCGCUUUGCUAAACCUAUAUUCCGACUCUGGAGUUUUAGAUGGGUGAAUCCUUAAUUAGCCUCACUGAGACAGGAAGCAUCACAGACUGACAACUAUUCAGGAGAAAUGAUUGGAAAGAAAGCAACACUGAAUAGGCUACAAGAAAAAAAAAGGAGAAGGUGAAGACAGCAGACUGCAGGAGUGUCUCUGGCUCCUGCAGAGCUUCAGUGUGUCCGGAGGAAUUAACAGACCAAAACCUCUGCCACCAGAGACAAGCCCUCAAGCCCUCACAAGAAUAACAGUGUGUUGCGAUGCUUGAGCAAGGAGAAAAAAAAAACUAAAGAAGUUCCCAUGAGCAGUCCAGACAGUUUACACAAAGAGACACAGACUAGACUUCUCUCACC